UAGUGUUUGUCUCAUGGUGCAGAGAAGAUUAAUGGCAUGCAAGAACUGGAAGUCCUCCUAGAAGAGUGGGGGAAAAAAAGAAAAAAAAAGAGCAGGACAAUUUGGAAUUAAAUCAUUUUGGCAGGACUUCUGAUGACUGUGAUCAAUGUUGAUGUGUAAGAACAAACCUUUAAGAAGAAAGAAUAUCACUCUGCAAUUAAAAUCCACGGGGAUGUUUAGAGAAAAUUAAAAUUCAUGUCCUUGCUGCAACCUGUGUAAAAAUGGAUGGAGCAACUCCUUGCCUGAAAGCUCAAAUGGACUGCAAAACUUCUACAUGAGGCUCAUGUUGGGAAACCACAGCCCAGAUUUCUGAAAUUCAGGUUCUUUUAAUGCAUUCCCGAAUGGACCACCAUCAUUCAGAUUUAACUGGGGCACAGACUGCUUUAACUCACCAGCUGAAGUACCCUUCUUCAAGAAGCUUGGCCAUGGAGACUACCAUUUCAUAAAUAUCUUCCAUUUCCCAGCAGCUUUGCCUUGUCUUGAGCUUGCACAAGGGAAAAAGGAAGGCCCAGGAGUCACCAACUACUCAAUAAAGAAGAAAGAACAUUCCUGUGUCUGCCAUGGAACAGUACAAAACAGCAAAGACGAAAAUUUCUCUGAAGCUUUCAACCUGAGCUCUCUUCUGAGCACCUGGCACACUGGGGCUCCAAUCCAGAGGUCCCUUCCACCUUCUCUCCUGAGGACACCGGCACAAUGUCUGUCCUCGGCCAGGUGCAUCUGUCAGGCCACAUGUGUCGGUCAGGAUCUUGCCUGCAGGAGUAAGCACAUAAAGACAGGAUGUCUGAGAGGCAGAAAGGAGAUUCAGGAUGUUGAAGUUCAGUUUUGAGCUCUGAUGUGACUUGAGGCAAGUCAUGUAGUCAUUACCUGUAUCUCGGCUCUCCACAUCUGCACGGUGAUGGUUGUAGUUUGCCUCCACCAUGGUUACUCAGUCUGUAGUGGAUGAGCUAUCACCUGCAAUAUUUGCUUACGUCAGGCAGCACAUCAAGGGUCCAGUCUCACUCUGGGCCUCCAGACACAACCAUUCCUCAAAAAGCGUUUUGAACCCUAUGACUUUGAAGACACCUUCACAAGAAAGAAUGACAUUCUGCACAGUGGAGGAAAUGAGUUCUUCUGGUCCCCAAAAAAUCUGGGUUUGAGUUUUCUAGGACAUCAUAUUAAAAAAAAAAGAAGAAAAAAAAAGGGAAAAAAAAGAAGAAAUUAUAUUUUCUCUCAUAAAUAAAAGCCAUUUUAUUAUCUUCUGAAUCCA
rnacentral:lncRNA from 1 species